GGGUCGGUGCCCGAGUGGCUAAAGGGGACGGUCUGUAAAAUCGUUGCGGAAGCUACGUUGGUUCAAAUCCAACCCGGCCCACCA
rnacentral:tRNA from 1 species